CACUUAGCGAAUCUGUGGCCGGCGGGGAGGUGGAAGGUUGUGGCAUUCUUGCGCAACACCCCGAACCAGUGGGAGGAGAGUUACCUUCAAAGCGUCCGGCGCAUCAGCAGAGCCCGGAAGAGAGCAGGUGGCGUCGCACU
rnacentral:SRP_RNA from 1 species